UCCGUCGUGAGGCGGAAUCUGAAGGAAGCCCGAGGCAAAGCCACGACCCGAGGAACACGAACCCCAUAGGAGGCUGUGCCGCUCGGGUGAGCUGGCCGAACACAGCAAAACCCGAAGCUGCCAAAGGGCGGUGCGGUAGAUGGGGCGGGUGCGGGGUGAAGGUCAGCGUU
rfam:Symbiobacterium thermophilum IAM 14863 DNA, complete genome.